rnacentral:rRNA from 1 species
UACGUAGGGGGGCUAGCGUUGUCCGGAAUCAUUGGGCGUAAAGAGCGUGUAGGCGGUCCGGUAAGUCCGCUGUGAAAGUCGGGGGCUCAACCCUCGAAUGCCGGUGGAUACUGUCGGGCUAGAGUGCGGAAGAGGCGAGUGGAAUUCCUGGUGUAGCGGUGAAAUGCGCAGAUAUCAGGAGGAACACCUAUUGCGAAGGCAGCUCGCUGGGACGUAACUGACGCUGAGGAGCGAAAGCCAGGGGAGCAAACGGG